UUUAAUUGAAGAGUUUGAUCAUGGCUCAGAUUGAACGCUGGCGGCAGGCCUAACACAUGCAAGUCGAGCGGAAACGACUUAACUGA
rnacentral:rRNA from 1 species